ACCGACAAGAGAAUUCACCGAUGACAAUUGCAUCUCACUAGAGGCGUGCUGUUCUCACAUAUCGAUUCUUCUUCCAAGAGUCGUCAGAUAUGUCUUUCUCUCUUUCUCCAGUUUUCUUCACCUGAAGAUGUGGUUCUCAAAGUGUGGUCCCUGAUCAGAAGCAUCACUGUCACCUGGAAACCGGUGAGGAGUAAACAUUCCCGAGGGAGCCCAAUCCCUAACCUAUUGGAUCAGAGAGUCCUCCGGGGGUGGAGCCCAGUAAGCUCGUUUAACAGGCCCUACAGAUAGAUACCAUUCUUCAGGGUGAUUUACAGUGGUGCGGAGUUGACAGAUCCUCUGCUGUGAUUUGAUAUGGAACUAUUUUCCUUCUGGACAUAGAAACGUUCCUCAGGUGGACAGAAAUCAGUUUCAAAAUGUUUCAGAUCACAAAAUAAACUGCAUGAGCGAAAGAAGAAAUUGACAAACUCAUUGUUUUUUUUGGAGAAUUCAAAAGACCUUUCUAAUUAAGAAUACAAUUGAUCAGGUAAGAA